AUAAGACAUGGAUGUCUAUCAGUAGAAAAUUAAAAAUGUAAUUUCAUUCAAUCUACUUUUUUUUUUUUUUUUUUCCUCAAUCAGUAAGUAGGAGUACUAAAAGUCUGUAAUACAGAUGGGGGAUUAAAUUUUGGCCAAUGACCAUUUUACUUUUGAAGAUGACCUGUCCUCCUCUCCUGCAAAAUAAAGGCCAUUACAUUGUACCAUGGUGUCUGACAGCUCUUUUAUUCAAAAGUAGGAGGCUGAAUUUAUAAGGUUCUUCAACUUCUUGAGAGCAUCUGUCACAUCCCACAUGGGGAAUGAAAUUUGCAAAUCCCUUCAGAUUAAAGUGAAAUGCUACGCAAUGUCAUUUCCUCCUUUUCAAGAAGAGAACAUCAACUUCAAUAGGAUAUUUCUUCAAAACUGUUAUCCUAUAUGCUUUGGUCCUCUCACAAUUAUAUCUACAUAAGCUGUGCAAUUUUAUAAGGAAUUCAGGAGAGAAGAGAAGAGAAGAGAAGAGAAGAGAAGAGAAGAGAAGAGAAGAGAAGAGAAGAGAAGAGAAGAGAAGAGAAGAGAAGAGAAGAGAAGAGAAGAGAAGAGAAGAGAAGAAUAAAUUCUGUUGACAGUAAAAGAAUAUACAACCUGAAACCUUACAAGAUAAGAAGAGUUACAAUGUAGAAAAUGUUGAGAUAGUAAGAAUGACUCAAUGGUCCAUGAAGAAGUAAAGAUAAUACUGAUCUUCAGAAAAAGUUAGAUACCCCUUUAAUCCCUCACACACAGAAGAUGAGAAGUCAGCACAACUGAAUUUCAGCCAUUUGGAGCAAUGGAGGCUGAUGGUGAGCAUGUGAACAGAUAAGCCUGUAGCAUGCUAAACCUGCUAUCUAUCAUGUAUUAGCUAAUGAAAAGCUAGUGUGUACUGUUAUACAUAUACUGGUGACAAAAUGUCUUUUCACAAAGUAAUAAUAAAAUAUCCAAACAAAUACGUUUAUGAUGGAGGUUUACACUGUGUUCCUAUAUAAGACAUGUAAAUUCAAUAAAACAGUUGAACAUGCCCCUCUUAUCAAUAAUGUGAAACAUGAGCCAGGGUAAUGGCCCAUAGCUCUUUUCCCAUCUCCUUUCUUAACAGGCCAUAUAGACAUAGGUUACGUUAUAGCCCAGACUAUGAAGGCUUACAAGAGAGCUAGAAGUAACCUGAGAUCCUUCCAUUUCUUUGUGGUAUUGUAGUGACCUAGUGAUCUUCCACCUUGGGAAGUCUUUGUGAUUUUUGAUCUGACCAUGGAGCUUUUCAGUGAAAAUAGAAAACUAUGCUUUUGUAUCUUGUAAUUUAUAUCUUCACAGAGGAGGAAUUUCAUCAGUUGACACUGUUAUUCUUAUAGGCUAUUCCCCAGGAGACAGAUGUAAAUCUUCAUGAAGUUUGAAGAGUAGCUUGUAUAUUCUUUGGUUUUCGUUUCAGAGGGUGAUUUAUAAAGAGUAUGCUUAUGAUUGACUAAAUUUUGUUUGUCCUGGUUUAAGUAGGGAAUGAUGAACAACUACUGUACUGAUA
ensembl:lncRNA